AUUGAACGCUGGCGGCAGGCCUAACACAUGCAAGUCGAGCGGAUGAAGGGAGCUUGCUCCUGGAUUCAGCGGCGGACGGGUGAGUAAUGCCUAGGAAUCUGCCUGGCAGUGGGGGAUAACGUCCGGAAACGGGCGCUAAUACCGCAUACGUCCUGAGGGAGAAAGUGGGGGAUCUUCGGACCUCACGCCAUCAGAUGAGCCUAGGUCGGAUUAGCUAGUUGGUGGGGUAAAGGCCUACCAAGGGGACGAUCCGUAACUGGUCUGAGAGGAUGACCAGUCACACUGGAACUGGGACACGGUCCAGACUCCUACGGGAGGCAGCAGUGGGGAAUAUUGGACAAUGGGCGAAGGCCUGAUCCAGCCAUGCCGCGUGUGUGAAGAAGGUCUUCGGAUUGUAAAGCACUUUAAGUUGGGAGGAAGGGCAGUAAGUUAAUACCUUGCUGUUUUGACGUUACCAACAGAAUAAGCACCGGCUAACUUCGUG
rnacentral:rRNA from 1 species